GAUGAACGCUGGCGGCGUGCCUAAUACAUGCAAGUCGAGCGAACAGACGAGGAGCUUGCUCCUCUGACGUUAGCGGCGGACGGGUGAGUAACACGUGGAUAACCUACCUAUAAGACUGGGAUAACUUCGGGAAACCGGAGCUAAUACCGGAUAAUAUAUUGAACCGCAUGGUUCAAUAGUGAAAGACGGUUUUGCUGUCACUUAUAGAUGGAUCCGCGCCGCAUUAGCUAGUUGGUAAGGUAACGGCUUACCAAGGCGACGAUGCGUAGCCGACCUGAGAGGGGGAUCGGCCACACUGGAGCUGAGACGCGGUCCAGACUACUACGAGAGGCAGCAGUAGGGAAUCUUCCGCAAUGGGCGAAAGCCUGACGGAGCAACGCCGCGUGAGUGAUGAAGGUCUUCGGAUCGUAAAACUCUGUUAUUAGGGAAGAACAAAUGUGUAAGUAACUAUGCACGUCUUGACGGUACCUAAUCAGAAAGCCACGGCUAACUACGUG
rnacentral:rRNA from 1 species